rnacentral:tRNA from 1 species
GGUUGUAGCUCAGUGGUAGAGUGCUUGCCUAGCAUGUGUGAGGUACUGGGUUCAAUUCUCAGUACCA